GCCGCGUGUGUGAUGAAGGCCUUCGGGUUGUAAAGCUCUUUUAUCAGGAGCGAAAUACUACUGGCUAAUAACCGGUGGGGCUGACGGUACCUGAGGAAUAAGCUCCGGCCAACUUCGUGCCAGCAGCCGCGGUAAUACUAAUGGUGCAUGCGUUGAUCGGAAUUACUGGGCGUAAAGCUUGCGUGUGCGGUUUGUUAACUCUGUUGUCAAAUCCCCGGCCUCAACCUGGGAAUGGCAAUGGAUACGGGCUAGCUAAAAUGGGAUAUACGAUGGUGGAAUUCCCGGUGUAGCAUUGAAAUGCGAACAGAUCGGGAGGAACAUCAUUGGCGAACGCGGCCAUCUGGAUAAAAACUGACGCUUAGGCACCAAAGCGUGGGGAGCACACUGGAUUACAUACCCUGGUACUCCACGCCCUAAACGAUGCGAACUGUAUGUUGGUCUCAACUCGCAGAUCACUGUCUAAGCUCACCCCUUGAGUUCUCCGCCUGGGGAGUACGGUCUCAAGACUGAAACUCAGAGGACUUGACGGCGGCCCGCACAACCGGUGGAUUAUGUGGUUUACUUCGAUGCUUCGCGAAGAACCUUACCUGGCCUUGACGUGUCUGGAAUCCUGACUAUAUGC
rnacentral:rRNA from 1 species